rnacentral:sRNA from 1 species
UAUUGUUGUAAGUAGUAACACCACUCUUUGAACUACGAACAAUGGUUGAAUCGUCAAAUAAUAUAGCAUUCAUUUUUUCAACACUA